UACGGGGGGAGCAAGCGUUGUUCGGAGUUACUGGGCGUAAAGCGCACGUAGGCGGGUUGUUAAGUCAGGGGUGAAAUCCUGGAGCUCAACUCCAGAACUGCCUUUGAUACUGGCAACCUAGAGACUGGAAGAGGUUAGUGGAAUUCCCAGUGUAGAGGUGAAAUUCGUAGAUAUUGGGAAGAACACCAGUGGCGAAGGCGGCUAACUGGUCCAGCACUGACGCUGAGGUGCGAAAGCGUGGGGAGCAAACAGG
rnacentral:rRNA from 1 species